GAUGAACGCUGGCGGCGUGCUUAACACAUGCAAGUCGAACGGUGAAGCCAAGCUUGCUUGGUGGAUCAGUGGCGAACGGGUGAGUAACACGUGAGCAACCUGCCCUGGACUCUGGGAUAAGCGCUGGAAACGGCGUCUAAUACUGGAUAUGAGCUCCUUCCGCAUGGUGGGGGUUGGAAAGAUUUUUCGGUCUGGGAUGGGCUCGCGGCCUAUCAGCUUGUUGGUGAGGUAAUGGCUCACCAAGGCGUCGACGGGUAGCCGGCCUGAGAGGGUGACCGGCCACACUGGGACUGAGACACGGCCCAGACUCCUACGGGAGGCAGCAGUGGGGAAUAUUGCACAAUGGGCGGAAGCCUGAUGCAGCAACGCCGCGUGAGGGAUGACGGCCUUCGGGUUGUAAACCUCUUUUAGCAGGGAAGAAGCGAGAGUGACGGUACCUGCAGAAAAAGCGCCGGCUAACUACGUGCCAGCAGCCGCGGUAAUACGUAGGGCGCAAGCGUUAUCCGGAAUUAUUGGGCGUAAAGAGCUCGUAGGCGGUUUGUCGCGUCUGCUGUGAAAUCCCGAGGCUCAACCUCGGGCCUGCAGUGGGUACGGGCAGACUAGAGUGCGGUAGGGGAAAUUGGAAUUCCUGGUGUAGCGGUGGAAUGCGCAGAUAUCAGGAGGAACACCGAUGGCGAAGGCAGAUCUCUGGGCCGUAACUGACGCUGAGGAGCGAAAGGGUGGGGAGCAAACAGGCUUAGAUACCCUGGUAGUCCACCCCGUAAACGUUGGGAACUAGUUGUGGGGACCAUUCCACGGUUUCCGUGACGCAGCUAACGCAUUAAGUUCCCUGCCUGGGGAGUACGGCCGCAAGGCUAAAACUCAAAGGAAUUGACGGGGACCCGCACAAGCGGCGGAGCAUGCGGAUUAAUUCGAUGCAACGCGAAGAACCUUACCAAGGCUUGACAUACACCAGAACACCGUAGAAAUACGGGACUCUUUGGACACUGGUGAACAGGUGGUGCAUGGUUGUCGUCAGCUCGUGUCGUGAGAUGUUGGGUUAAGUCCCGCAACGAGCGCAACCCUCGUUCUAUGUUGCCAGCACGUAAUGGUGGGAACUCAUGGGAUACUGCCGGGGUCAACUCGGAGGAAGGUGGGGAUGACGUCAAAUCAUCAUGCCCCUUAUGUCUUGGGCUUCACGCAUGCUACAAUGGCCGGUACAAAGGGCUGCAAUACCGUGAGGUGGAGCGAAUCCCAAAAAGCCGGUCCCAGUUCGGAUUGAGGUCUGCAACUCGACCUCAUGAAGUCGGAGUCGCUAGUAAUCGCAGAUCAGCAACGCUGCGGUGAAUACGUUCCCGGGUCUUGUACACACCGCCCGUCAAGUCAUGAAAGUCGGUAACACCUGAAGCCGGUGGCCCAACCCUUGUGGAGGGAGCCGUCGAAGGUGGGAUCGGUAAUUAGGACU
rnacentral:rRNA from 1 species